rnacentral:tRNA from 1 species
UGGUGUGUAGGUCAGUAGUAGAGCACUUGCCUAGCAUGCAAGAGGCCCUGAGUUCUAAACACAGCACUCCUU